GUUUUCUUUUACCAGGAACAUUCUUUGGUUGGAUGAAUCCCCUUAUGCAGCAUGCAUAUCAAAGACCAAUAACAGAGAAGGAAGUGUGGAAGUUAGAUAGUUGGGAUAGAACAGAAACACUGAAUGCUAAGUUCCAAGAAUGUUGGGUUAAAGAAUCUCAGAAGCCAAAGCCAUGGCUGUUAAAAGCAUUAAACAGUAGCCUUGGAGGAAGGUUUUGGUGGGGAGGCUUUUGGAAGGU